rnacentral:misc_RNA from 1 species
GAUGAAGAACGUAGCGAAAUGCGAUACUUGGUGUGAAUUGCAGAAUCCCGUGAACCAUCGAGUCUUUGAACGCAAGUUGCGCCCGAAGCCACUAGGCCGAGGGCACGCCUGCCUGGGCGUCACACGCCGUUGCCCCCCCAUCUACUCCUUCGGGAUUGCGGGGGGGCGGAUGAUGGCCUCCCGUGCGCCUAGCCGCGCGGUUGGCAUAAAUACCAAGUCCUCGGCGACGCACGCCACGACAAUCGGUGGUUGCGAAACCUCGGUUGCCCGUCGUGUGCGUUCGUCGCGCAUCGGGGGCUCGAAAAAAUGCUCGGCUCCGGCUGGGCUUUCAACGCGACCCCAGGUCAGGCGGGGUUACCCGCUGAAUUUAAGCAUAUCAAUAAGCGGAGGA